rnacentral:misc_RNA from 1 species
AAGUCGUAACAAGGUUUCCGUAGGUGAACCUGCGGAAGGAUCAUUAAGAAUUAUAAAUAUUUGUGAAAUUUACACAGCAAACAAUAAUUUUAUAGUCAAACAAAAUAAUCAAA